rnacentral:rRNA from 1 species
CCGGAUUAGAUACCCCGAGUAGUCCCAGCUGUAAACGCUGCCAACUAGAUGUUGCGUAUUCUUCGUGAAUGCGCAGUGUCGGAGCGAAAGUGUUAAGUUGGCCGCCUGGGAAGUAUAGUCGCAAGACCGAAACUUAAAGGAAUUGGCGGGGGAGCACUACAACGGGUGCGGCGUGCGGUUUAAUCUAACUCCACGCAGAGAAUCUCACCAGCAGCGACGGCAGGAUGAAGGUCAGAUUGAAGGUUUUACCUGACGAGCCGAGAGGUAUUGCAUGGCCGCCGUCAGCUCGUACCGUGAGGUGUCCGGUUAAGUCCGGCAACGAGCAAGACCUGUGCCCACAAUUGCUAACUGGCUUCGUGACAGAGCACAUUGUGGGGACUGCCUCCGAAAGGGGGAGGAAGGUGCAGGCAACGGUAGGUCUGUAUGGUCCGAAUCUGCUGGGCUACACGCGCGCAACAAUGAUAGGGACAAUGGGAUGCGACACCGAAAGGUGGAGCUAAUCCUCUAAACCCUAUCCUAGUUCAGAUCGAGGCUUGUAAUUUAGCCUCG